GGCCCAAAUUUGAAGAAGAGUAGAUUGCUAGGAUCAGCUGACCAUACUAAUCUACUCUACUUCAUGUUUGCGUCC
rfam:Haemonchus placei strain MHpl1 genome assembly, scaffold: HPLM_contig0007407